rnacentral:sRNA from 1 species
UAGUUGGGACAGUUGUAGGAGGAAGAUUAACAUAUACCAGUACAGAUGAGCAUGAUGCUAUGGAUGGAGAAUUAUCCUGUCGAGUUUUUCAGCUUAUAUCUUUAAUGGAUACCGGAUUGCCUCGAUGUUCUAAUGAGAAAAUAGAGCUUGCAAUUCUGUGGUUCUUGGAUCAGUUUCGUAAAACAUAUGUUGGUGAUCAACUUCAAAGAACCUCAAAGGUAGGUUUCUACUAGAGAGUUUAAAACAUGUUAUUGGAGAUGAAGAAAGAUGUACAUAUAUAACUGAAUGAUAUAUUUGGGAAAUUUCUACAUAAGAUGUGUAAUUGAUUAAUCAAUUGAUGAAUUGGU